AUGAAUGGUACUCCCCUCCCCCAUGGGGGGGGGGGUCCCCGCGGCCGCGCAGGUUCGCCCAGCCAGCCCCGGGCCCGGAAGACAAAAGCGGCACCGGGAGGGACCAACGGAGCGCUCCCUACCCCCACCCCCCUCGCCAAAACUUACCGAUCACCUCCCCCUCCCCAAAACAAAGAAGCCUCCCCUUACCCCCAGCUCCAGUCUCCGCCCGCCCCUCCAACCCCCGACGCGCCGGCACCACUUUGGGGGAGCGGCCCCAUCGGGGUAUUGUUCAGCCUGCAGGGAGCGCGCGCAACACCCCAGCCCGAUCCCCGGGGGACACUUGGGGAAGCUGGGCCCCCUCCCUCCACCGCACCCCCACCCCCCUACCAGAGACGGGGGUCCCCGAGCGGGCGGCCGGCCGGCCUGACCCCCUCAGAGAGCGGGAAUGAGCCGGGCCCGGGCCUCACCCCUACCCUGAGCCAGAGAAGUUUCCGCAGCGCGCCCGGCCCGGGCCGAGCCCCGCGCGCACACUUACCUCGCCCUGAGCCGCGCAACUUGUGUCCGGCGCCGCCGCUCCAAGCCUGCGCCCCGCCGGCCGCCGCCGCCGCCGCCGCCGAGCCCGGGCCGCGCCGCGGCAGCCGAGGGCCCGGCGCCCGAAGCCGCCGCGCGCCGCCCCCCCGGGCCGCCCCCGCCCCGCGCCCGCGUCCCCCGCCGCCGCCGAGUCCCCGAGACGCGCGGGCGCUGGAAAGUUUCGGGUGCCGAAUGGCGGCGAGGGCGCUGCGGCGGCGGCGGCGGCGGCGGGGUGGGGGCGCGGGCGGCUCCUCGCUCCCGAGCGCGGAGGACGGGGCGGGCGGGGAGGGGGGGAAAACGGCGGCGGCGGGAGAGGGCGGGACGCGGGAGGGACCGGCGCGGCCAGUGACCUCCGCUGGGGAGCGGCCGCCGGAACGCCGACCCCGGCCGGGAGGACGGCCCUGGGCGCCGCCCCCAGCCUGCGCCCGCCCCCGCCGCCGCCGCCGCCGCCGCCGCCGCCGCCGGGGGAGGGGAGCCCGGGGCCCCAGCGCGCUCCCCGACCCGGGACCCCCCCAUCGCCCUCCCCCCAUCACCCUCCACAGCCCCCAGCCUGCGCCCUCCCCCACCGCCCGGGGCCCUUGCGCGCUCCCCCACCCGGGGCCUCCCCAUCGCCCACCCCCACGGCCCCCAGCCUGCGCCCGACCCCGCCGCAGGGAAAGGGGACCCCGGGGCCCCUGCACCCUCCCCCACCCCCAAAGAGGCCUCGUCCCAGGCCAGCCCCUCCCCCAGGACCCCCAGCCCGCCCCCUCCCCCACCGCCGGGGGAGGGGAGCCCGGGUCUUCUGCAACCUCCCCCCACCCGCGUACCCCCUCCCCACCCCCCAGACCCUCCCCCACGCCCAAAGGGGCCGCGUCCAGGCCAGCACCCCUCCCCCACGGCCUCCAGUGUGCCCCCUCCCCCACACACCCCGGCCUGCCCUUCCCCCACGGUGCAGGCGGUAAGAGCCCGGGCCCCUCCCCCAUGGCCUCUAGGGGGGCGGUAGACCUGCUUCCCAGUCCAGCCCCUCCCCCGCGGAGGGGCGCCCUCCGACCCUACCCUGUCCCUCACCCCCCCUCCCCCAGCUCCCCCCUCCCUGCCACGCCUGGGGUGGGUGAGGGGAACCCGGGCCUCUUCCCUCCUCUCUGCGAACCUUGUCCCAACCCCGAGGCCUCCAUCGGGAGUGGGGGUGGGGGGCGCAUCAGAAAAUUCGGACCUACCCCCCACCCAGUCCCAAACCCAUUAUCCAGGAGGGGAAAGGAACCGGGUCGCCACCCCCGUGGUCUCGGGGAGGGGGGGAGAGGGGGGCAGGGAGACAGGGCCACUGCUGUGUUACCCUCCCCCAGCUCAAAGAUGAACCCCCCCUCCCCUAACCUGCCUGAGGGUGCCAGCCCCCUCCAAGUCGCCGGCCGAGAGGCCAUCCCCCCCACCCGCGCGCGGUCUCUUCCCCUUCCCCCCAAAAGUGGGGGCUCCAGUGAAGCCUCCACCUUUGCAAAAAUCCCUAGCAGGGAAGGCGCCUGGGGAAAAAGAAACUCAAGACGUACUGGGGUGGACGCUAGGACCUAG
ensembl:lncRNA